CUCUCCCCCACCCUCUCUCUUCUCCCUCUCCCUCCAAGUCUGGCACUGAACGCGAACUGUUUUGCUUUGCUCUGGGAAGAGUGCAGACACAUAACGUGAAAUCCCGAGCUUUUUGCGUGGUGCAUUUAAAAUGCUUCCUUGUUUAUAUUACCCUCAUUCCCUCACCUCCCCCACCCCCUCACCAGUCCUUCCAAAUUUCCCUAGAAAUCUAUGUAAAGCAUGCGGAGGGGAAAACAUUUGCACAAAAAGUGAAGGAGCUCGCCAAGGUGGUCAAACCUGUCCUGACACCCAGAGGUCUGCAUGAGGGGUGGCCACUGAAGGAGGAGUUCUCAAAGGCCACAGGUGAUGAAGAGCUUGGAUGAAUAAACUUAGAAGUCCCAGGAAAAUAGCAAAAAUUUCAUCUCCUGAAGAAAUUUGAAGAUUUUUUUGGAUAUUCUUUUAAAGGUGAAACUUUUCUUCUUUAGGAUUGGACAACUGAAUUUAAAGGCAAGUUAAAGUUCAAUAUUUUGAACAAUGUUUAAAUCAAGAUGAGCGAGAAGACAGAACUGUUAAAAGGUUUUAUUUUACAGCCAAGUGAAGGAUUCAGCUAUGUCCCAAAGGAUUAAACAAGAUGAUGUGGAAUUUGAAUGCAUAAUAAUUAAAUCUAUACAAGAUCAUACAGCUAAUAAGAGGCAGAAUCAGGAUCUGGUUCCAGAUUUACCUGACACUAAAGGCCAGAGUUUUAUCGUAUUGCCUCUUCUUCGGAGAGCUAUUAGUCACAUGUUUGGUUAGUAUGGC
rnacentral:lncRNA from 1 species